GAUUAAACUAAAGAGUUUGAUCCUGGCUCAGAUUGAACGCUGGCGGCAUGCCUUACACAUGCAAGUCGAACGGUAGAGUAGCAAUACUUGAGAGUGGCGAACGGGUGAGUAAUAUAUCGGA
rnacentral:rRNA from 1 species